AAAAGAAAAGAGGAGGGGGGCGUGAGUUGAGGGCUGGAGGAAAUUCUUGUGUGUUGGAAUGCGUUUACCCCGGGGGAGACCCGUGACUUCGGGAUAGACGAGGGGCGCAGAGAGAGAGAGAGAGAUGCAUGUGGCGUGAGGAGAGAGAGUGAGCGGUCUAUUCUCGAGCUCUUCACGAUGCACAUCUGUGAAAAGGCGGCAAAGACCUGCAAUCCAUGGCUCCUGUCCUGCUGUUCCAUUUUAGGAGAUUUCAUGACACCACUCUCAGGGCCACAAUGUCCCAGUGAACUCAGCAGCGGUGUUUCUGGGCUGGGCCGGUUGUUCUGAUAAUAGAAGGUGGUUCUCCAGGAAGCCAAGAGGGAGUCCACCAGUCUGGGGUGUAGGACCAGUAAGUGGGCCAGCUAUGGGAUCAGCCCAGGGGUGUGGAGCAGCAGUCGAUGAGGCGGUGGGAAGUGCUGGAGGGAUGUGGACGGGUGAAAAAGGAAGGCAGGCGAGGAAUGGGAGGGAAGGACACGGAAGUGAGAGCAGGAAACGCUGGUAGGAGCAGUGGGAGUGGGGAGUGGAAUGUUUCACAAGAGCUUUAUCUGCACUGUAGCGUCAAGAUGUGGGCAUCCGCUGUUGGUGUCACUGUUCAGACAGCCACCCGCCAAGCGAGGGAGCUCAUGUGUGACAUAGCCAUCCUCUGACACGCACACAUGCGCACAUUCUCCACAGUGUGACCCCUCACCGCCUUGGCAGAGCUCACUGCUCUUAUAUCCUGGGAGUGGGCCAGCCUGCAGCACCGUCCCAGCCUUCGUAUAGUCCACGCUGUGCGGUUGUGGAAUAGAGAGAGAAAGUCUUGCAGUGUAAGUGAGGGAGUCAGUGCUAUGCAUUAGUGGGUUCUGUUAAAGGGACCACAAUACUGGCGGCCAUACAUUCAUGCAUAUGUAAGUAAUGCAUUUCUGCACUAAUCAGAUCAUGCUGUCACGGGCACGUUAUGCAUUUUACUACAAGAGCAUGAAAACUGCAGUCAGUGCAACUGUUAUUACUGCAUUUAAUCAAAGCAGAAAUACUCAGCCUUCAUUCAUCAGAUUGUUUGUUUUCAUAUGAAUUGACCUAUUAACCACAAUAAUUUAUACAAGAAUAGGGACAAGCCUAUAAGACAGGUAAAUAUUAUUUAAUUCUGUGCAAUAGGCACAACUAGAUUUUAGCUCCAUGCACUUCCAAAUGUUGUAUUUGAAGGAGUGUGUAUAAUAUUAAACGGAGGUGGAACCAUCUCUGGUGGGCCUGUUAUGGACUGCGGAGCUUAAAAUGAGCAUCU
ensembl:lncRNA